AGCACUAUUUUUAAACCUGUUGGUGGAAUUUCCUGGCCACCAUGGGUUACGCUGUAGUGCAAAAGAAAUCUCCUGGCUCUUUAGAGCAUAGCUGACCUUGCUCUGUUCAGCUGAUGCUCCUCUGAAGCUAAGGAACAGAA
rnacentral:snoRNA from 1 species